rnacentral:rRNA from 1 species
UACGUAGGGUGCAAGCGUUGUCCGGAAUUAUUGGGCGUAAAGAGCUCGUAGGCGGCCUGUUACGUCUGCUGUGAAAUCCCGGGGCUUAACCCCGGGCGUGCAGUGGAUACGGGCAGGCUGGAGGCAGGCAGGGGAGAACGGAAUUCCCGGUGUAGCGGUGAAAUGCGCAGAUAUCGGGAGGAACGCCGGUGGCGAAGGCGGUUCUCUGGGCCUGUACUGACGCUGAGGAGCGAAAGCGUGGGGAGCGAACAGG